UCCAGGUGGUAUCGCCACAUCUCUCGGAAAGAUGGACUGGGGAAAGACAUUAAGUUGGAACCAACACGCCAGCGGAUCUAUCGCGUUCUUGUUCUGGGGGACAAAUCAGCUUGUGCUUUCUUUUUUUAGACAAAAAAGAAUCUGUCGUCCACUGAGCAGGGAAACAUUAGGAUCCUUGGAGAUUUACGGAAAAGGAGUCAGACAGCGGCGUGAGAGGCUCAACAAAUAACUCUGUGAGAAGAACGGGAGGGCAGCGAGGUCGCCAUGGCGAUUCCCGUGAAUGAGGCCUCUAUCGAAAUUGCAGAAGGGUGCCAAUGUGCUCGGGGAGGCCGUGCCCAAAACUAACCUCAGCAAAGUCCCCGUUGCCAGAAGUGGAAAUGAUGUGGUAAUAUCAAAAAGGCAAACAAAUCUCCAGAUACAGCUAUAGAUACGACAAUUUACACCUUUUGAGUCAUAGAAUCACAGAGUUGUAAGGGACUCCAAGGUUCACCUAGUCCAACCCCCUGCAAUGUAGGAAUCACAGCUGAAGAAUCCCUGAGAGAUGGUCAUCCCUGAGAGAUGGUCAUCCAACAUCUGUUUAAAAACCUUCAAUGAAGGAAAGUCAACCACUUUAUGAGGUAUUCCAUUCUAUUGUUGAAAGCCUCCUAUCCAUAACUCAGAACCCAGUGAAUGGCUAAGAAUGUGAGCUAGGAACCUGGAGGUCCAAACAUCACCUCCUCAGAGAUGAACUUACCAGAAAUCCUUAUGCAAGUCACUCUCUCAGCCUCAACAUCCCCAUCUGCAAUAUGGAAAUAAUAACAAUGCUGUUCUACUUUACAGGUUUGGUAACAACUCAGAGAUAAGUACACAAAACCCUAUAAGAAUGCUAGGUUUCUAUAACUUAUCUUCCAUCACUGCAAAAUCAACAAAGAGCGCUCACCAUUUUCUAUAUUUUGUUUAAAAGAAAGAAAGAAAAAAUUGCAAGCAGAAGCAUGGAUUUCCCAUUGCAGAAAUAUUACUCUUCCCCAGAAAGGUCAACUCCCAUAUUACCGUUGCAAGAUCAGAUGUUGCAAGAGUAUAAUGCUAAACAUGAAAUAAAAUUAGGGCAUGCUUUUCUGAUUUUAGGGAAUGUAUGCCCAUGAAUGCUCUUGUCUAAAAGCAAACACAAAAGUAAGUUAGAAAUCACAGGUUAAUCCCCAUUUCAGGUAAGAUUGCCCAAACCCUGAUGAAGCCACCAUUUUUCCUAAUGCUUCCUAUCAGCAGAAUCUGGAUGGAGUAAAGAGAUAAUUGAGUAGAGACACAUAAAUGAAAGUCGCUGUGCUAUCUCCUUGCCAUUCCUUGCACCAUCAGUGCCAAAUUCAUUAAAGGCUCUAAAUUCAGAAAUGAAUUAAAACUAAAUCGCUUAAACGAUUACAAAACAAGAACAUCAAUUUCCAGGUCACCCCAAACCAACCAGUUGCCUCUCCUAAUACUAUCAGACCUUUGUACAAAAGCUCGUUUCUCUUUCAGGCACUCUAAAAGUGACUUAGAAUUUAUUUUCCGGUGAACGCGUAGCUGUAUGCAGCACCGACAGCGAUUCAAUUUAGGCAAAAUUGUAGUCAAAACUAAACUGAUUACAUUACUAUAAAUGGGAAAGAGUUAAACUUAGAAAGGGAACAAAAAAGAGAGGAAACUAGCCUCCCCUUUUCUUUUAUAACAUUCCCCUCGGAGAAUUUCCCCGUAGUCUCUUCUGACUCUUCCAAGAGAUGUUAUUUUCCCUUCCAGUACCAAUUUCAGCAGUGAUGGCCUAAAAGGUUCUGGUGCCCCAGGCGAGACUAGAUUAUAGGACUCCAUAUGGGGUCAAAAAUAGGAGAGUCCUUACAUGUGUUCGCCAAGAAAAUAAAAGCCGUAGGAUUUCACUGCACUUCAAAGGCAAGAUACCCAGCCAAGCCAAUCCUAUUCUAGUCACUCAGGCAGUGAAAAUGUUGCAAGCCUGUUUUGUGCGCCAACUGCACAGUUAAAAGUCUAGAACAUUUUGUGUGUGGCUGGUAUCACACUUCCUGGCUUGCCUCUCUCCCUUUUGUCUGCUGAAUGGGACUGAUGCAAAAUGUGGGCUGGUUCGUGGUCUUUCAGCAAAAUGUUUGUUGCUGCCCUCAGUCCAAAAGCAUGGUUGAGAACUUCUGCAUAUGUGGUGGCAGAGGAAGUGGUGUGUGGGGGGUG